GACGAACGCUGGCGGCGUGCUUAACACAUGCAAGUCGAACGGACAGGCCCUGCUCUUGUGGGGUGCUCGAGUGGCGAACGGGUGAGUAACACGUGAGUAACCUGCCCUUGACUUUGGGAUAACUUCAGGAAACUGGGGCUAAUACCGGAUAGGAGCUCCUGCUGCAUGGUGUGGGUUGGAAAGUUUCGGCGGUUGGGGAUGGACUCGCGGCUUAUCAGCUUGUUGGUGGGGUAGUGGCUUACCAAGGCUUUGACGGGUAGCCGGCCUGAGAGGGUGACCGGCGACAAUGGGACUGAGAUACGGCCCAGACGCCUACGGGAGGCAGCAGUGGGGAGUAUUGCACAAUGGGCGGAAGCCUGAUGCAGCAACGCCGCGUGCGGGAAGACGGCCUUCGGGUUGUAAACCGCUUUCGCCUGUGACGAAGCGUGAGUGACGGUAAUGGGUAAAGAAGCACCGGCUAACUACGUG
rnacentral:rRNA from 1 species